UAGUCGUGAGCAUCCUCCUGUGAAGACGCUCCUCUCCUCUUACUGCAGUCGCCUCUAAUGAAGUCUUUCAUACUAAGGUCCAGCUUGCUUUUUUUCUCUUUGACAGUGAUGAUGCAGUGAUCCUGAUGGAAUGUUGACUACCCCUCAGACCCUGCGUUUUUCAUCCAAGCAGUAAGGCCAUUUUAUUAGACUCGGCAUCCUUUCCUGAGUGGGGAAAUCAGGCUCCACAGUGAGCUCUAACUGGAACCUAAAACUAUUGAAAGAAAAAAGAUUUUGUUUCCCUCCUGUACAAACGCAAAGACAUAAUCUUACAUAGCCCCAGGAGAAAGAUAUAAGAAAACUCCAAGCAUUGCAAUUAAAUUCUUAAGUACCAGUGACAGCUUGAAUGUGAAGUGGGUGGACUCUAUUCCUGGAAGCAAAAAACCUUCAAGUGAGGCAGAGGGUGAAAGAAAAGGCCCUAACGUCUAAGUCAACAGCCUGAGUUCUACCUUCCUCCAACCAACUUCUGAGUCUCACCUAUGAAAUAUGAUGAAAUAACCAGAGCCCAGAUUAGGUUAGUAGCCUACCAGCCACCAGCAAGUGAUGGAACCGUGACUCAAGCCCCGGCAUUCUGUUUGCAAACCAGCAGGCAGGCACAGGAGGGGCGAAGGAUGGGUGCCUGGACCAGCGCUGCUAUGGAGAGAAGCCCCAAGGUAGCUAUUGUGCUUCACGAGCUCAGGUGGCUGCGACUCUGGCAUCCUCUUAGUAGGUGCUGAAACUUGGCCAUGAUGACCCAGACAGGAAGAGGCAGAGUGAGAAAUACAAUCCAGACGUCUCCAAGCCCAGGCUUUCAUCACCAUCAUAUUAUAUUGCCCUUCCCACUGGAACAAGUAAAAAAUAAAAGUCAGACUAUGAGAAGUGAUAGAACAUCAGAUCCAGGAGAGAAGAUGCAUUUAGAUAGGCGAUUCUUCAAGGCUUCCCGGAGAAGAUAUAUGUUGGCCAUUGAAAUGACCAAGACUCACUUCCAGAUAAAAAGUUCAGCGAUUUUGUCUAAGAGAGAGUGGAGGGGGCCUAGCCUUCACAGUCUGGCAGACUUGCAUUUGAGCCCUGUCUUCAUCAAUUACCAGCUACGGGACCCUGGCCACCUUGUUGAACUUCUGUGAGUCUUCAUUUUGGCAACGUGAGACGCCUCACUGACUUGUAAAACUUGAAAAAAGUAUGAAACACGUCUAUUCCAAUAGCUGAUAACAUCAUAGACAUUUAACAAACAAUGCUUGAUUUGAGCCAACUCACGUCUCUAGGUUGUAGUAAGAAAAUGGAGAAAAGUUUAUUUUUUAUUAAAUGGAGCAAGGUGACAUUGGUUAAUAAAAUUACGUAGGUUGCAAGUAUACCAUUCUGCAAUACAUCGUCUGUAUAUUGAAUGGUGUGCUCCCUACCCAAAGUCAGUUCUCCUUCCAUCACCAUAUAUUUGACCCUCUUUACCCUUAUCUACCACCCCUUCUCCCCUUGUCCUCUGGUGAGAACAGUUUAUCAGCUGCUCUGGUUUGUGCCCUAGAGAAGACUACGCCAAAGGAGGACUCUGCUGUUGACGUCAUGUCUUAUGCUACACUCCUGAUCAUUAUACUACUCACCCACCCACAUAUGCACACGUGGGCACACACACAUGCAUACACACGCCUACGCGUGUGUACAGACACUGAGGCAUAAGCUGCAGACCCAGGGGAGAAGUGCUCAGAGGGCUCAAGCACCAUAAUAAACUUUCAC